rnacentral:rRNA from 1 species
GAUGAACGCUAGCGGCAGGCCUAAUACAUGCAAGUCGAACGGUGUCUUCGGACAUAGUGGCGCACGGGUGCGUAACACGUAUGCAACCUACCUUACAUUGGGGGAUAGCCUUACGAAAGGGAGAUUAAUACCGCAUAAGACAGUAGCUGGGCAUCCAGCAGCUGUUAAAGAUUUAUCGAUGUAAGCUGGGCAUGCGUCCAAUUAGCUAGUUGGUGAGGUAACGGCUCACCAAGGCUAUGAUUGGUAGGGGAACUGAGAGGUCAAUCCCCCACACUGGCACUGAGAUACGGGCCAGACUCCUACGGGAGGCAGCAGUAGGGAAUAUUGGGCAAUGGACGCAAGUCUGACCCAGCCAUGCCGCGUACAGGAUGAAGGCGUUAUGCGUUGUAAACUGCUUUUAUACAGGAAGAGACGACUCUUGCGAGAGGCAUUGACGGUACUGUAUGAAUAAGCACCGGCUAACUCCGUGCCAGCCGCCGCCGUAAAAC